AACUAUGGCGGUAUCCCACAUGUGAACGCAACCUCAGUCUAACUCCUCCUCAUCCUUCAGAGAGUCAUCAGAUACAUGUAGCGAGCUUGCCGUCCUUGAUUUCUCUGACGAACUUGGUCUCUUUGCCGUCCCACUUCUGGACGUGGACCAGCUUGUCUCCCUCCAUAGUCACCAAGGACUGAGAAAGAGAGGAGGAGAAGUUUCUGUCAUCAGCGGUGGUUUCGUCAAACUCCUCUCCCAGUUUGAAGGAGAUCUCUGUGUUUUUGAAGGUGCUCUGGG